UCCCCUUCUGUGCCUUCGCUUCGUUUGCGCGCAGAAGCGGAAGCUUCUGGGGACGGUGCGGGAGCAGGAGCCUGCUAUCAAGGAGAUGUGCCAAGGUAAACCUGAGCAGAUUCCGUCCUUCUCGGCCGGAGAUGUUUUUUUUUGACGUUUUGUGAUUUGGAUAAUGCAGCCCUGAAGGAGAUGGAAAGCAAGCUCAAGAACCUCCGGACGACAACAACCGGCUCCGCGGCGAGCUGUAAGAUCGAAUGCUUGUGUUGUGCGUGUUGAUUUGGGUUCGCUUUUAUUUCGCGGGGAAUGACGGCUGAGACGCUGGUUCUGCUCUUGUUGUUGUUUCUUUUAUACCAGGCUCGACAAGGACCGGCAGUUUGCGGAGACGCGGACACUUGUGGUUGACAGGGAGCGUCAGCUUUCCAAAACCCAGACACUUCUAGCUGACAGGGAGCAGCAGCUUGAGGCCCGGCCACUUCCAGUUGACAUUGAGUUUCCUUGUCUAAUUUCGAGUUAUUCUCCCUUUACCACUUGGUCAAUGCUUGGAAGUUUAGAGAAUGGACAUCGAUGGUGUGCUGGCAUUGGUCAUGCAUGUAUGGGGACUAAUAGUCUAAUACACGUCUUCUUGAAAUGGAGAGCAGUAAUGUCGCCUCAGAGCAACUUAUCUUUGUUAUAAUCUGAAUUUCAGGCAACUCAUAUAUCUUAGUAUUUGAAUAGUUUUGCAUCUAAGUAUUUGAAUGCUGUAAGCAACUACUUCUCCCGGGGGGAGGGGGGUGGUGAUCUGGUGGUGGCAACCCGGGAUACUUCGCUUUUUUUUAGAAAAGGAGGAUGACCCCCGGUCUCUGCAUCUGGAAGAUGCAUGCGGUCACUUUAUUGAUUAUUCUCGAAGACCUUACAAAGUAUUACAACAAUAUGGCUGAAUCCGCCAUCUUGGCAACAUAUGUCAUUACUCCUAUCCAUAUGAUGAAGGGGUACUAGUUGUGCCAAAUACCCAGACCACUCACCUAAGCCUAUCAUCAACAGCUAGAAGCCCCAGCCGACCACAUGCCGGGUCUGGGGCAUAAACUGGUCUGACGCACUCACAUGCGUCGUCACCGCCAUCUCCCACAGGUCCGUCUUCAGAGCAGAUACUAAGGCUUCUACCUUGUCAGGCCACUCUGCCAUCGACGUCACCAUGACGCCAGACAACUACCUCCUCCUGCGCGAGUCCAUCACCGCGCAUCGGGUGCCGAGUCUCCACUGCGCCACGCCGCCGAAAUCCGCCGUCAUCAAUGUGUAGGAUGAAGCACCGCUCCACCAAAAAAGCCGCCCAUUGGUCCCUCGAUUCCGUGUACGCCUCCAAGAAUGACGCCCCCAAGGAGGAAACGACACCAACGCGCCGCCGUCAUCCGAUCUACUAAUCUAGGAUUUCCCCCGAAGGUAGCGGAUAGAGGUCUGGAGCUUCUCCACGGUGAUCUUGGCAUCAAGCCGAGAACGAGGUUUUCACCCGGAUCCGCUCGAAGAACCUCCAUCAAGCAUCGUGUGCACGGGUCGCCGCCGAUCUGAGCCGCCGCACAUCGAGCAGGCCGCACCGGCCAGAUCAAAUCUGUCCGGAGGGCAAACCACGCAUUGCGCCGACCCAACCACCAGGCCCUCCAUGCCGUCACCGCCGAUCCGAGGUCAGAUGGUCCGUCGCCGCAGACCCGGCCGCCGCCGCCGAACGCAGACAAGGCCGCUGCCCGAAGCAGGGCCGGCCGCCGCACCCCCACCAUCUCCGCCCUAGGUCGAGGCGGCCGCCGUGCCGCCGCCGGUCAAGGCAGGCCCGCCACGCCACCAAGGCCAGAUCGGCCGUGCCACCACACGCCGCGGGGCUCCGCACCACCCCCAUGGCGCAGGAGAGAGGGAAGGCCCCCGCCACCGCCGUCAGCCCCCGGGCUAUAGGCCGGCGGCGGCAGAGGGAGGGAUGGAAGGAAGUGGAGCCCCCGGCGGCUAGGGUUGCGAUCCCGCCCGAGUCGCCUGAGCGGGGGCGACGCGGGAGGUGGGGGGGAUGGCUUUCGACGAGUACGGCUCCAAUCUUCCUGCCUCGGACCAGCUUGCCGUCGCUUCGGUGGCGGCGCCCGUGGCCAUCCAGCCCUCCUCUCCGAUGCUAGGAGGGGGUGGAUUCGGGAUGUGUGCUCAAUGAAGAUUCUGGUCCCACUCCGGCGUCGGGGCGUCGUGUGUUGAGCGGCUCAGGCAAGCAGCCCAAGAAGACAGCGGGGCGGAAGCCUGGGUCCAAGACGGUGGCGCCGGUGGCUCCUGGGCCUGUGGAGGCGAUGCGUGGCGAGCUCGGGGCGGCUCUGGUGGCGUCCGGCCCUUCCGUCAAGGCCAAGCGAUCCAAGGCGACCCCCGUGGUGCAGCGCGCCCCCAGCGUGCGCGCCAAAGCCAAGCUGGGGGACAUAAUGUCCCUGGAGAGUGCCAAGCUGCGCGCGGCUGACAAGAACAUGGAUGUAUCAGGUAACCCAAUCCCCUCCUUUAGGAUUCUGAAUGCAUUUACAGACGAUCAUCUUGUUUCGAUCCUAAAUGAUAGUGGCGUUGCGGUUGAGUCCUCCACUGAGGAUAUUAUCUUGUUAGUUCGUGCGAGGGAAGAAGCUCAGGCUGUUGUUGCUACUGCUGCUGCUGCUCGCUGUGCUGCAGAGAAGGCAACGGCCGAGCAGGUCGCGGCACCAGUAGGGGCUGGUGCGUGCCAUGAGCCCAACGAGGGGGAUGAGUCUAGGGCAGCCUUGGACGCCCCUUCUUCCAGUCGUGUGCCGGCGCGGAAGAGAGUGGCCAAAGCCGUGAGCUCUCGUGGAGUUCGCCUUCGCAACCGUAUUAUCUAAUGUGGCACAUCUUCUGGAGUAUUCACGGAUGCGGCCAUGGGGGCCGGCGGACGCAACUUAGAGAAUAUAUGGCAAAGAACGUAUCGAUUUCGUGGCGUUGCAGGAAACAAUCAAAGCCGACUUCACGUUUAGAGAUCUCCUCGCGUACGAUCCCUUGCAUCGUUUUGGCUGGUUCUGGAUACCCUCCUCUGGCAACUCGGGUGGUCUCCUUAUGGGUUGUAAUCGUGAUGUGUGUGAUGUAAUUCUGUGGGAGUCCGGUGUUUUCUUUAUUGCAGCAACUGUUCGACACCGCGUUUCUGGGUUGACCUGGGUGAUUGUGAGCGUCUAUGGGCCGGCCGACCAUGCGAGGUUUGCUGAUUUCUUGGGUGAGAUCACGGCCCUGGUUGGGGCUAAAAGAGCGGUUAAUCUGUCGCUAGCAGUUGGCGGAGAUUUUAACUUGAUCCGCUAGGGGGCGGACAAAAACAACGGCAAUAUUGACUAGGCAAGGGUGUCCCUUUUCAAUAAUGCGAUUGCGGCCGCCGCGUUGCGUGAAAUUGCGAGGACAGGUGCUAGAUUUGCAUGGACUAACAAACAGCGGGCGCCUGCCCGUUGUGUUCUCGACCGCGUUUUCUAUACUGGAGACCGGGAGUUGCUGAGACGCGCAUAGGGUCGGACCAUAUCCCUUCAAUUUUAUCCUCUGGGGAGGACAACGCUCGGCGUAGCAGAAGAUUUUUCUUCGAAACAGCGUGGUUUGAGGCCGAGGGUUUCGCCCAGAUGGUGACGGACCGCUGGGAGCUGAUCGGGAGUGAGCUUGGCCGCCAACGCGGCCCUACGGAGUUCUGGUCCUCCGCGGCUGUGACUCUGCGAGCCUUCCUCCGGGGUUGGGAGCUAAUUAUGGCAGCGAGUCUAAAAGAGAAAGGGGGCAGCUUGUUGAGGAGAUCGCGUCCCUAGAUGUUCAGGUAGAUGCCAGACCUUUCUCCGAAGACUAAUGGGCGCAUAGAUACUGUCUGGAAAACCAAGUCUUGGCGAUCCUGAGAGCGGAAGAGGAAUAUUGGCGUCGUAGGGGCGGUGUCAAGUGGGUCACGAAAGGUGACGCUAAUACCGGAUACUUCCAUGCAUACGCCAAUGGCCGAAAGCGUAAAAGCUCUAUUCUGAGACUUCAGUCAGAAAAUGGCCUUCUAGUGACCCAAAGUGAGAUAGUGAGUCAAAUUUAUGAUUUCUUCAUCGGACUGUUGGGAACAGCCGAAGAGAAAAGACUCAGCCUCCGGGACGGUUUGUGGGAUCCAACGGAGAAAGUGUCUCAACAGGAAAACGAUGCCCUUGCAUUGUCCUUCCUGCUGCAAGAAAUAGAUAGGGCCCUUGCUGACAUGAAGAAUGACACGGCUCCAGGUCCGGAUGGUUGGCCGGUGGAGUUCUUUAAGAAGUUUUGGCCUGUCAUUAGAGACCUGUUUCAUGCGAUAGUGAAUGGCUUCGCCCUAGGCACAGUAGAUAUGUCCCGCCUCAACUACGGUGCCAUUUGCCUGAUCCCUAAGGUCAAAGGGGCGGACUCCAUUAAGUUGUUUCAUCCAAUUACCCUCAUUAAUGUGCCUUUCAAGAUCUGUGCUAAGGCCUACGCCACUAGGCUGGCUCCUGUAGCACAACAUAUUAUUCUUAAGAGCCGAACUGCUUUUCUCAAGAGUAGAAAUAUCCUUGAAGGUCCGAUAGCGCUUCUGGAGAUAGUCCAUGAGCUUAAACGAACAAGGAGGCAGGGAGUAAUCCUAAAACUGGACUUUGAAAAGGCCUAUGACGGCGUGAACUGGGAGUUUGUGCGGGAGGUCCUCCUCAAAAAGGGUUUUGAGGCAGGAUUUGUGCAUCGUAUCAUGCACUUGAUCACCGGAGGGCACACCGCGGUCAUAAUCAAGAGCGAGAUGGGGAAUUUUUUCCGCAAUAAAAAAGGGCUACGGCAGGGAGACCCCAUCUCUCCGUUAGCUUUUAACUUUGUAGCGGACGCCUUGUCGGCCAUGAUAGCCAAAGCCAGGGCGGCAGGCCACAUCAGGGGGCUGGUACCUCACCUCAUCCCUGGAGGGGUGACCCACCUUCAAUACGCCGACGACACUUUGAUGUUGUUUGAACCCGAUGAUCACAACAUUGCUUCUAUCAAGCUCUUGCUGCUAUCCUUUGAAAUACUUUCAGGGCUGAAAAUUAAUUUCCUGAAAAGCAAGGUCAUUACCAUGGGAUGGACGACCAGGAUAGCGCGCGAGUAGCCAAUCUGCUUAAUUGUAAGCUAGGGAGCUUUCCAAUUAAGUACAUGGGCCUUCCGAUAUCGCACCGGAAAUUGUCCAUCUUGGAGUGGGAGCCCCUCUAUGGGAAGGUGGCCAAUAGAGUUAGCCCGUGGCGAGGGAGAUUUAUGUCCUCUGCCGCUCGGCUAAUCCUCACAAACUCGAGUCUCUCCUCCCUCCCACUGUUUACUAUGGGGAUGUUUCUCCUAGCUGAUGGAGUGCAUGCUAGGCUCGAUACACCUCGCUCUAGGUUCUUUUGGGAAGGAACCGACAUCAAACGUAAAUACCAAAAGGGAUCCAGUGCUAGAAUAGCUUGGCGAUGCGUAGGGGCGUUGCUUUGGGCUAUUUAGACGACUCGUAAUAAAAUUACGAUAGAGAAGAAAUUUCCUAACCACCACGCUGAUGUGAUCUUCAAAUGCCAUCUAUUUUUACAGACAUGGACAACAUAGGGGAAGGAGCGCGAUGCUGAGCGCAUGAUGGAAGUCCUGGAGCGUAUCAGGAUGACUCAGAUGUUAGCCAGGCAAGACUCGACGCACGGCUGAGUUGCUUUUGGGGAGGCCCUUCACCCUUGCGGAGGUCGUUUGGGCUUGUUGGAACCUAUGCUAGAUAUGUUUAAGCCUGGGUGCUUUUGGACUAUUUGUUGUAUUGCUGUACUUGCUGACCUGUAUGGUCUUCGUUUCCUUUCGAACCUUGUAUGAAUGCUGCCGAGUGGCUUUAUUAAUCUAAAGCCGGACGCCUCUAGCGUCUUCGCUCCAAAAAAAAGCAACUACUUCUCCAGGCUGUGACCUUUCUAUAGAUCAGGCUUAAUUAUUUGAGUAGAAUUUUUAUUCUUAAAUUUGUUGGUUACCACAAUUCUUUGAUGUUUAGUUUAUUGUAGAAAGUGAACACCGAAAGCACUGAUUGUCUCAGCUGAUUCCCCUUUAUAUGAUAUAUAUUUAUGCUCGGAAUAGUGGGUUGGAAGGUUGGCAACAAUCAAGACAUAUCACAUGAUAUUAGUCAACAAAUUGAACAGUUAUUGUGAUAGUUCUCACUAUUAUAGUAAUAUAUUCUAAUUGGAUAUUGUUGUAUCAAAUUGCAACAUCAUGCAAAAAUGUAGCACUCUGAGAACAAAUAGUUGUGGUCACGCCCUAUUGCAAAAGUACACUUUUGCAGCCAAAAAAAAGAUGUAAAAAAAAUCAUAGAUGAGCAACAUGACAGAAAAUGUGCACAUGCAAAAGCAUGACCAUUUGCGAACUGUUCUCUUGAGUACGACAGAAAGUUGUGCGCAUAUAGUUUGCUACACUGGUCCUUCAUCUCUUUGUCCUUAUUUUUACAAUUUUUUCAUAAUUUUGAACAACUUUUAGCAAGUGUACAUGUUAUAGCAUAUUACAACCAUGAUUUUUCCCCGCAUAUAUUGGAAAUUCAAGGUACAUGUGUGGGAAACGUCGUACCCGGUUCAGGGCGACGGCUUCGUGUUAUAAAGACAGGGGCGCAACUCCCUGAUAGCGUACAAGCUGUUGAGAUAGAGAUUUGAGAUACAAGGGAUAAGUUACUUCGAGUACAAGAGAUAAACUAGAGAGAGAAUAUUGUUACAGAGAAUAUUUAUCUAGUCUAUCUAGCCUAUGCGGUUGGCUAACCGAACUAUCUCAAGCUGGGCCUGCCGAACCACCUUGACACCAUAGCAACGUUGUUUAACACCCUCCCUUAACCACAGCUUGGUCAAGUUGAGAUUACGCUUGAACUCUUCAAAACUUUUUGUAGGCAAUGCUUUUGUGAAGCCAUCUGCAACCUGAUCUCGUGAAUGCACAAAACGAAUAUCCAAUUGUCUCUUUGCAACUCUUUCUCUGACAAAAUGGAAAUCUAUCUCAAUGUGUUUUGUUCUGGCAUGAAAAACUGGGUUAGCAGAUAAAUAAGUAGCACCCAGAUUGUCACACCAUAGACAUGGAGUUUUGGUGUGCUUCACACCCAACUCUCUCAACAUGGACUGAACCCAGAUAAUCUCAGCGGUGCCAUUUGCUAAUGCUUUAUACUCAGCUUCAAUGCUAGAUCGUGAUACAGUAGCUUGUUUCUUUGCACACCAUGAUAUAAGAUUCGGUCCAAAGAAAACUGCAAAUCCACCAGUGGAGCGUCUGUCAUCUAUACAUCCUGCCCAAUCAGAGUCAGAAAAAGCACUGACAAGAGUUGAUGAAGAUUUGGUGAAUGUAAGACCAAGACUCAUAGUAUCUUUCACAUAUCUCACUAUGCGCUUGGCAGCAGUCCAAUGAACAGUAGUAGGUGCAUGAAGAAAUUGGCAUACUUUGUUUACUGCAAAGGAUAUAUCUGGCCUUGUUAAGGUGAGGUACUGGAGUGCUCCUACUAGACUUCUAUAUCUAGUACUAUCCUCUUGACCCAAGAGAUCUCCCUCUUCAAGUGACAAUUUUUCUGUGCUAGACAAAGGAGUUGGAGAGGCUUUACAUCCUUGUACGCCAACUCUUCUUACCAAAUCAGUAGCAUACUUUUCCUGAGAGAGAUGAAGGCCAUUUUCAGUUUUCUUUACCUCAAUCCCUAGGAAGAAUGUAGGUCUCCCAGAUCUUUAAGAGCAAACUCAGCACUUAGGUCCUUCAACAAUCCUGUCACUGCUUCAUUAGAUGAACUUGUGACAAUAAUAUCAUCAACAUAAAUAAGAACAAAAAUGGAUGUUUUGAACUUAUUGUAGAUGAAUAGAGAUGUAUCAUAUUUUGAAGGAACGAAACCAAGUGCUUGUAGUUUCUGACUGAGACGAGAGUACCACGCCCUGGGAGCCUGCUUCAGUCCAUAUAGAGCUUUGUCAAGCUUACACACAUGAAAGGGUUUAUCCUUGUUCUCAAAACCAGGAGGUUGUUUCAUGUAUACUUCCUCUUCCAGAACACCAUGAAGGACCGCAUUCUGCACAUCUAGUUGUCUGAGACUCCAUUCCCUGGAAACAGCAAUAGACAGGACAAGACGAAUAGUAGCAGCUUUAACUACUGGACUAAAGGUGUCUUCAUAGUCUAUGCCAUACCGCUGUUUGAAGCCUUUUGCAACAAGUCUGGCUUUGUAGCGAUCUAUGGUUCCAUCGGACUUUCUUUUGAUCCUAUAAACCCACUUACAAUCAAUCAAAUUUUUACCUCGCCGUGGAGACACAAGAUGCCACGUCUUAUUUUUCUGAAGUGCCAUGUAUUCCUCUUCCAUGGCCUUUUUCCAGGGUGUAUCCCCAAGAGCUUCAUCAAGCGUACUGGGUUCUCCUGUGGUACACGCUAAACCAAACUUAGUUAUUUGUUUGUAAUUGACGGGUUGGAUUACUCCCUUCUGUAGCCGUGUACGAGGUUGGACAGACGAGGCAGCAUCGUUGGCGAGCGCAGAAGAUCCAGCCUCUGGGCCAGACAAUCCCGAGGCAGAUCCCCCUGGUGCUUCCGACGCACCAACCGCGCCAGCAGUUGGGUCAGCAGGAUUUUCUGCGGCGACGGGUGAUGCUGGAGCCGUGACGGAAGGCGCAGAAGAUCCAGGCGGCGCGGAGGACACGGUCCUGACCGGAUCCGCCUCGGAUCGCACGCCUGUCGUGGGCUGGGGCGAAUCCGCGCCGGAUCGGGCGCCCAGCUGCUGGCGGCGCGUGUAGUGGCGGGGUCCGCCCGCGGGCCAGCAGGCCGGGGGCUCCUGCCGCGUGGCCUCCACGGAUUGGCGCGGGUCGGACGCCGCUUCUGGCCCAGUUGGGGCGAGCCGCGUGGCCGUCGCUGGGUUGCUGUCGCCGCGCCUGGCGGGCGACACGGGAUCUGGCGCGCUGGUGCGCUGCUGCGAUGCGGAUCCCGAAGCUGAUCUGUUGCCACGCUACUGGAGCUCCGAUCCCGAGGAGGAUCUGUUCCCCGCUGGGUGACACAUAAAAUGUGAACUGUUUGGGGUGAUCUCUUCACCGUUUUCUGUGAUUCCUUCGCCAUUUUCUGCUCCAUUGCCAUCUGCAUCAUCACAAAGCUCAAGUGCACGGUUAUGAGGAUUAGUCAUCAUAUGAUCAUUACAGUUAUUUCCCCCUUGAUCAAGACCGGUGAGACUAGAUGGUAAGAGAAGAAUUUCUUGACGAAGUAGGGCACCGGCAUUAGGAUGAAGAGUGGCAAAGGGAAACUUAGUUUCAUCAAAAACAUCCCGUGAGAUAUAGACACGUCCGGUUGAAACAUCAAGACACUUGACGCCUUUGUGUUGUGGACUAUAACCAAUGAACACACAUUGUUUGGAUCUAAAACUGAGUUUUCAAUCAUUGUAAGGGCGAAGAUUGGGCCAACAGGCGCAUCCAAACACACGGAGAGAAGUGUAGUCUGGUUUGGUGUGAAGAAGCCUUUCAGUGGGAGUUUCAUUGUUGAUAACACGACUAGGUAGCAUAUUAAUGAUGUGGACAGCUGUGAGAAAAGCCUCGUCCCAAAAUUUUAAGGGCAUGGAGGCGCCAGCAAGAAGGGCAAAGCCAACUUCGACAAUGUGUCUGUGUUUGCGUUCAGCAGACCCAUUCUGUUGAUGGGCAUGGGGACACGACACUUGGUGAGAGAUGCCAAGUUUUUGAAAGAAGGAAUUUAGUUUCUCGUAUUCGCCACCCCAAUCAGAUUGGAGGGCUAUGAUUUUGGUGUCAAAUUUCCUUUCAACUAAAGCUUGGAAAUUGAGAAAAACUUGGCAUACAUCUGAUCUUUUCUUAAGAAGAUAGAUCCAGGUAAAUUUACUAUAGUCGUCAAUGAACUCACGUAGUAUGUAUGUCUACCAACAGAGGAGGGAGCAGGUCCCCACACAUCAGAAAAAAUAAGUUGAAAAGGCUUGGUAGAAAUACUUGUAGAAAUAGGAUAAGGCAACUGAUGACUUUUAGCUCUCUGGCAGGAAUCACAAAUUGUUUCAACAUCACGCUCUCCAAUAUAUGGGAGCUUAUUUUUCCUAAGCAAACGCUCAACUAAAGAAAAAGAUGCAUGUCCUAAUCGAUCAUGCCACCGUGUAGAUGAGACUUUGGUGGCACUAAAAACUUGUUUAUUGAAUCUUUGAAUCUCCGGAAUCAAUGGGUAAAGCCCGCGAACACAUCUACCUCGAUAUAGCACCCUCCUCGUGGCCUGAUCCUUGAUCAAAAAGAAGAAGGGGUGAAAUUCAAGAAAGACAUGAUUAUCAAUGGCAAUUCUAUGAAUGGAAAGAAGGCUCUUGGAAGCACUAGGAACAUGCAAAAAUUUUCUGAGAUGAAUUUUUCUCUGAGGGGUUUUAAUAACAGAAUGACCAAUGUGACCAAUCUUCAUGCCUUCUCCACUGGCAGUGUGGAUAUGAUCUUGGCCGCGAUACUUCUCGCGCAUGGUCACCUUUUCCAGCUCACCGGUGAUGUGGUUCGUGGCUCCGCUGUCGACGUACCAGUUCGUGUCAACACCAUAUGAGGCUUCUGCUGCCCCGGCCACUUUUUCAUCUUGGGACGAUGCGUCAUCAUCAUCCUCAAACCGGUACCAGCAAUCUUUAGCUGAGUGACCCAGCUUGCCACAGAUUUGGCACCGGACAGCGUCCGGGCGCGAUCUGUUGCUGUUGGAGGAGCUGGUGCGCCGGCCCUUAUUGUUGUUGGAGGAGGGCCGGCCGCCGCCGCGCAUGUUGCCGCCGUUCUGGCCGCUGCUGUUGCCCCCGCCAGAUCUCUUGCCCUUCUGACGAGGAGGUCCACGGUAGCGAGAGCCGCCACCGCCGCGGCCGCGGGUGGCGAUGUUUGCCGAAGACUUGAAGCCACCUCCGGUCCCUGCCCCUUGGAACAAAGCCACCCUUUGAUCAAAGUUACUCAUCUGAGCAAACAAUUCAUCAAGGGUGACCGGGAUGGUGCGGGCGUCAAGGGCAAAGACCAGCGGCUGGUAGUCCAUGUCGAGGCUGUUGAGGAUGUAGGAGAUCAGCUCGUCCUCCUUCAAUGGCCGCUCCGCCGCGGCAAGUUCGUCGGCGAGGGAGCGCAUGUGCGCAAAGUACGUGGCCACCGAUUGUGUCCCCUUCUGCGCGUUCGUGAGAGCGGCGCGAAUGUUGUUGACGCGGGACAUCGAGGUUGACGAGAACAUCCUCGCCAGCACCAUCCACAGCUCAUGCGCGUGGGUGAUCGCGGUCACCUGUACGAGUACUUCUUUGGACAGAUUAUUCAGAAGAUAACCCAGUACCUGCUGGUCUUCCCUGAUCCAAAGUUGAUGUAGAGGAUUCGGGGUGGUCUCCUCCUUGCCAUCUUUGUCCUUGGAGACGACGACCUUGGCUGGUUCCACCAUGCUCCCGUCCACGUACCCGAAGAAGCCAGCACCGCGAAGUUGUGGCGUGAUCUGGGUAUGCCAUAGGAUGUAGUUGGUGCGCGUGAGACGCUCGGUGACUUGGCCGGAGAGGGUAGGGUUGGAGGAGCUGGAGGAGGCCAUGGUAGGAGGUUUUCGGUGGAGGAGAAAAACCUAGAUGUGAUGGAAGAGUUAGGCUCUGAUUACCAUGUGGGAAACGUCGUACCCGGUUCAGGGCGACGGCUUCGUGUUAUAAAGACAGGGGCGCAACUCCCUGAUAGCGUACAAGCUGUUGAGAUAGAGAUUUGAGAUACAAGGGAUAAGUUACUUGGAGUACAAGAGAUAAACUAGAGAGAGAAUAUUGUUACAGAGAAUAUUUAUCUAGUCUAUCUAGCCUAUGCGGUUGGCUAACCGAACUAUCUCAAGCUGGGCCUGCCGAACCACCUUGACACCAUAGCAACGUUGUUUAACAACAUGUUCUAUAAGUGAGGUGCGGGUGCAGCUGGUUGUGGAAAAUUCCCAUUCGAUGUUUGUCAACUGCCAAUUGUACUGGGUUGUGAUACUGACCGCAUUUUACCAGCUUGAAUCAGUUACUCAAUUUUACAAUUAUGUCUCUGAAAAUGUAGGAUUUGAUUAAAUGAUUAUUAUAUCCUUAUAUGCAAGUGAAAAUUUCUCAACAAACCUACUUGCAUCAUGUUAUUUUCUACUUCUGUAAUGUGGUGUUUGGAGAGCGUAUGGUCUUGCAUUUAUCUGCAUGUCUCUACCACGGUCCAAAAUAUGUUUCACAUUCUGUUUAGUUCUAAUGAACAUUAAGUGCUUACCCAACAUUUUUACAUUUUCUAGUGCUUUAUUACUACGCCCUGCGUUGCAAUAUUAUUGAAGUUUUAGGUUUAUCCUAAGUCAAACUUGUUUAACUUUGACCAACUCUAUAGGAAAAAUGUGUUAGGAUCUGCAACCCCAAAUACACAUAGUAUGGAAAUAUAUUUUAUAAAGAAUCUCAUGAGACUAAUUUGGUGUUUUAGAUGUUAAUAUAUUUUUCUAUAGACGUGGUCAAACUUAAACAAGUUUGACUUAGGACAAACAUAGAACUUCAAUUAUUUUGGAACGGAGGAAGUAUAUUGCAAACACAAAACAGCCUCAACACCGUAAUGUAAUUCAUGGUUAUUUUACUAUAAAAAAAUCAUGGCUAUUUUAUACCUGGUUAAUCAGGUAUACAAGAGUAAUAACAACCUACUUGUUUCUCGAAAACAAUUGACACAUUAUGAGGCACAGCAGUCCUCUGUAAAUUCACCUAUACCUUGUAGAUUGCCAAUAAUUUUAUUUCUAUUUUCCAUUCUUUUUGGUGAUAACCAAGUUGAUUUAGCUGCAAUUUUAUUUACUCUAUUCUGCUUUGCUUAUGCAGCAAAGGAGUUUGAAACAGAAAUUUUGAGGCUUAAGCGCCUGUUGGCUGAGACCAAUGAUACAAAUAACUAUGCAGCUUUAGUGUCUCCUGAGACAAUAACUGAAGUCAUACAGAAGCAAACUCCAGUUUCACCUGCAAGAACACCGGUGUGGAACAGAACGAAUACAGUACAGUCCAGUGUGAAUGCCAUUGUCCUCCAUGGUAGCUUUCUGGAUGAAGCUAGAGAGGCAAGUUGUUGAAACAGCCCAACCACUUUGCUGGUAGUGUAGAAGUAUGCAAGGGUAAAUGAUUAAUUUGAGCUUUAUAUUGUUUGCUAAGCCUUUUUUAUGGCUUGCAUUGAUUCUGUAGCAGGACUUCUGUAGAAGAGGUGUUCGCACCUCAGGUUAGUAAUAAUGUACAAGUGGAUUGCAGUUUGUGGUUCUUCUUAUGCCUGUAAAUUGGUUUGACUUGUAAGUCUGUUGCUUUCAGGGAAUGGGACAGAUGAAAGUUCUUGUUCUUGUGUGUAUCAUAUGCUGGUUGAAUCUUUAGUUGGCAUGAAAUUUUCACUGAAGAAUGAAAUAGAAGGAUUCUCACUUUCAAUCCAUCAUGAAGCUACUGGUACAUGCAAACACCAGUUCUCGCGUUGUUUAAUUUGCUACAGCACAUUAGUAAUAGAAAUAUGACACUACAGUUAUUUAUGGUUUGCAUUUUACAUUUUGGCCUUGAUAUUUUACAUUCAUGCAUGUGAUUUUAUAUGUAACUGGGCAAGCUGGAUAUCUGUAGAGCAGUUAUCUUAUAGUGGCUGCCUCUGUAACUUGAAAAGUGUCUCUUUAAACUGCAAAAUGUGGUACCUAAAUACACAUUUUCCCCCCUGAUAAUCUGAGGCCACACCCCCGGCUCCAUUUCAAUUAAGAAAGAAACCACGUGAGUACCACAAACACCUAUAUGCCUUACAAAGUAGGCAAGCUGGGAACAGGAAAAGCUAAAAACAUCCUCAAGAACUGAAAAGGUAAACUAAAGCUUGUCCUGCUCCAGAAUAUUACAUCAAGUAUAAACUAAAUACACAUUCAGUGUCAGCUUGCCUUCUAGCAAGAAUUAUGCACUUUUCUUUUUGUAUCAUAGUCCCUCUUUGAUCUGGCCUUGCAUUUUAAACAGUUUAUACUUCUGUGGACUUUAUUAAAUGUAGGACCAUGCGCAUUGUCACGGUGACAGACAAUGGUGACGUUAGAGAAUGGACUUACCAGAACAGAUUUCUGACCUUUAGUUGUUGUUACCAGCACAUGUCGUAAUUAUGGCUGUGAAAUUUUGAUGAUCAUGGAGAUGGAGUAAAUCUAAUAUUCUUAUACUUGUUCACAUGUUGAGGGUAUGUUCCUUUCAGUUAGUGAUAGAUAUAGUAGUAUGUUGGAGUGGCAUGUUACCUUUUAUCUGUUGCAUGUGACCUCUCUUUCUAUCACCGACAUGUGCUUAUAUUCUGGCGUUAAAGAUGUUGAUCCGACAUGUGCCUUUGUUUGUCAACAGGGAAGAACCCACCAUAUGAUUUUGCAUCAGUUAAUGUUUCAUUUUGCGCUGUUUAUAUCAUACCAAUAGAAUUGUUUGUCAAAGGUGCUAAUGCAACCUUAACUGAGAUCUUCAAGCUAUUGUAGGUUAUAAUUUCACCCUUACGUGGUUAGAGCAACCUGAUGGCGGUGAAUGGGCCUACAAAUACUCUUCGCUAGGCACCCUGGAGAAAAUCGCUUUAAAGUGGAUGAGAGUGCUGAACAUAAGGUUUAGCAAGGCAAUGUGCCCUGUAUUCUUUGAGCGGGUAUAUAGUCUCAUCAGGCGAGGUCGAUGAUAGUCCUGACUUCAUAUUUUGAGCUCUGGAUGUACAUGACUGAAAUUGAUCGACUGUUGGCAGAACUGUCCUUCAUAUGUUGUGUACAUUUGCUGGGGAGAUUGGAUGACUUGCCCCAAGUUUCCGAGCGCUUGGAAGGUUCGUCCUCGUUUUUAUUGUAUAAUUGAUCAUUUGCCACAACUUGUGCCUGCAGUCUGAUGAUUUUUCAGAAUACACCACCAAAAUUUAUGACCGAACUACCGCUUUAAUUCAGAUUCCUCUUUGCGUCUCUCGGUUCAGCCGUCAGGCCUGUCUUGCCCGUUGCUGACCACCACUGCAGCAUUGUACCCUGGAGGAGGGAAUCAAAUUGCAUAUGUGCCCGGUGAAUUUCGGCGGACAUGGAGUGUCAUCAGAAAGGCCGAUGACUAUUAUGACUGAAACUGAUCAACUUUUGGCAGCAGAAUGUGUGUACGCUUGCUUUCGUUUCGUGUUUAUGUUUUCAGCAUGCAAAAUUGCACCCCUGGUUUGAAUAGACUCUUUCUUGCUUUUUAUAUCACAACUCCACAAGCAAGGGAUACUCCAAAAAUCCAUUUCCCUUCUUGACAAACUCCACUUUUUAUACCUUGGUCCUAUCACAGAUGCUUUGCUCAAAUUUGCAGAGAGUUUUUACAUGUUUUGUUGUUGUCGUAUAUAAGGGUUGCUCUCGGUUUAAACAGUUGGCAUGAAACCAACCACGUUUUUUCAGUUUCGAACAUGCCAGACAAAAAAGAAAAACUCGAAUCAGUUACACGUCACAAGUGGAGUAUCAAACAGUUGAAAAUCUAUGGAACGCCUGAUUAUUUCAGUAAAGUAUAUGCCCAUCUCAGCGAUGGGAGAACAGCAUGACAUCAGAAACACCAGGUUUGCUAAACCCACCGAGCAAUCGAAGCUCCAACCAGCUACAUGUCCAAGUAUCGAACCAACACUCCAGAAUCUAUCCAACACCAGAUCCGAUCAAUCGACGCCAAUGUGGAGCCGCCAAUCCGAUAGAUCCCGCCUUCUUCUUCCUCUUUACGCCGGCUUGUAGAGCUUCUCCACCAUCUUCCUGAACUCUGCGCACACAAGAAGGAGAACGAAGCAUGCAGAUUCAGAAC
rnacentral:lncRNA from 1 species